rfam:Mesocricetus auratus contig072904, whole genome shotgun sequence.
UAGUGUUAUGUGUUGUUGAACUGCCAACCAAAGAUUUAAAGAUAGAUUCAAAAAUAAGCCCUCUUCUGCAGCCUGGGGCUCAUUGUUCAGAAUGAGUUUUGAUACAUAUGAGAAGGAUUGUG